CCCUUAGAUGUUCUGGGCCGCACGCGUGCUACACUGACCGGCGCAACAAGUUUCUUUCCUUGGCUCGAUAGGCCUGGGUAAUCUUUGAACGCCGGUCGUGAUGGGGAUAGAUCCUUGCAAUUUUUGAUCUUCAACGAGGAAUUCCUAGUAAAUGCGAGUCAUCAUCUCGCGUUGAUUACGUCCCUGCCCUUUGUACACACCGCCCGUCGUACCUACCGAUUGAAUGGUCCGGUGAAGCCUCGGGAUUGCGAAUGCUUCGUGCGGACGCGAGAACUUGGCUAAACCUUACCAUUUAGAGGAAGGUGAAGUCGUAACA
rnacentral:rRNA from 1 species